rnacentral:piRNA from 1 species
UUCUAUUCGAGUUGAACUUUU